GGCAAAAUGACCCCGUAACUUCGGGAGAAGGGGUGCUCUUUAGGGUUAACGCCCAGAAGAGCCGCAGUGAAUAGGCCCAAGCGACUGUUUAUCAAAAACACAGGUCUCUGCUAAACCGUAAGGUGAUGUAUAGGGGCUGACGCCUGCCCGGUGCUGGAAGGUUAAGAGGAGUGGUUAGCUUCUGCGAAGCUACGAAUCGAAGCCCCAGUAAACGGCGGCCGUAACUAUAACGGUCCUAAGGUAGCGAAAUUCCUUGUCGGGUAAGUUCCGACCCGCACGAAAGGCGUAACGAUUUGGGCACUGUCUCAACGAGAGACUCGGUGAAAUCAUAGUACCUGUGAAGAUGCAGGUUACCCGCGACAGGACGGAAAGACCCCGUGGAGCUUUACUGUAGCCUGAUAUUGAAAUUCGGCACAGCUUGUACAGGAUAGGUA
rnacentral:rRNA from 1 species